CCUACGGGGCGCAGCAGUGAGGAAUAUUGGUCAAUGGGCUUACGCCUGAAUCAGCCAAGUCGCGUGAGGGAAGACUGCCCUAUGGGUUGUAAACCUCUUUUGUCAGGGAGCAACGCCGGCUACGUGUAGCCGGACUGAGAGUACCUGAAGAAAAAGCAUCGGCUAACUCCGUGCCAGCAGCCGCGGUAAUACGGAGGAUGCGAGCGUUAUCCGGAUUUAUUGGGUUUAAAGGGUGCGUAGGCGGUUUUAUAAGUUAGAGGUGAAAAUUCGGGGCUCAACUCCGGACGUGCCUCUAAUACUGUAUGACUAGAGAAUAGAUGCGGUAGGCGGAAUGUAUGGUGUAGCGGUGAAAUGCGUAGAGAUCAUACAGAACACCGAUUGCGAAGGCAGCUUACCAAACUAUAUCUGACGUUGAGGCACGAAAGCGUGGGGAGCAAACAGGAUUAGAUACCCCAGUAGUC
rnacentral:rRNA from 1 species